UCCACACAGCCUCCUCUCUGACAAAGUCAGGGCCACACAUCAUCUGCCCUCCAGGGCUCCUCUGGUAUCAGCACUUUCCUACACGCAGUGCAAUGCACACCUCUGAUCUUCCAGAACAGAAACUGGUGCCUUGGGAGUUUAGCUUGUAUAUUUUUCAUGUGUUUGUAUUUUUUAAGGAGUGCAGCUUCUAUCUCUUCCCACUGCAAUUCUUCAGUGUAUAACUCUAAACCCCAUACACAGUGUGAGCUGCUGCUUUCCCAUUUGGGGCAGACACAACAAUUCCUCUCCAGGCCUGGCAGUCAAGGACACCUCACUGCCUCAGGCCCCAGAGAUGGAAACAAAAGUAGCCUUGGAAAAGGUAUCAAAAGACUUCAGCAGAACCACAAAACCAGGACUUGUGCUCCUCUCCCAGGGCUUUCCCAGCUGCAAGGGCUCAGGAGACCACGGAUAUAUCCCCAUGGAUGUGCUGCGGAGUUGGAGCAGAUGCUAAACUUCUUAAACUGAAAAAAAUCUACUUUAUGGAUCUGCCAUAUCAAAUAAAAAAUAUGGUUUGUUAAU